rnacentral:rRNA from 1 species
UACAUGGGGUGCAAACGUUGCUCGGAAUUAUUGGGCGUAAAGCGCACGUAGGCGGUCCGUUAAGUCAGAUGUGAAAGCCCUCGGCUCAACCGAGGAAGUGCAUCUGAUACUGUGCGGCUAGAGUGCGGAAGGGGCAACUGGAAUUCUUGGUGUAGCGGUGAAAUGCGUAGAUAUCAAGAGGAACACCUGCGGCGAAGGCGGGUUGCUGGGCCGACACUGACGCUGAGGCGCGAAAGCCAGGGGAGCGAACGGG